rnacentral:rRNA from 1 species
UACGGGGGGGGCAAGCGUUGUUCGGAAUUACUGGGCGUAAAGGGCGCGUAGGCGAUCUGACAAGUCUGGUGUGAAAGCCCACAUGUUAACUGUGGAAGUGCAUUAGAAACUGUUGGAUUUGAGUUCAGGAGAGGAAGGCAGAAUUCCCGGUGUAGCGGUGAAAUGCGUAGAGAUCGGGAGGAAUACCAGUGGCGAAGGCGGCCUUCUGGACUGACGACUGACGCGUGGAGGCGCGGAAAGCCAGGGAGCAAACGGG